GGCCUUGUGGUGUUAUCAUGUAUGAUUGCAAAUCAUAAGAAGCAGAGAAAAAUCUGCCGGGGCUUCACCCC
rnacentral:tRNA from 1 species